rnacentral:rRNA from 1 species
UACAGAGGGUGCAAGCGUUAAUCGGAAUUACUGGGCGUAAAGCGUGCGUAGACGGUUAUGUAAGUCGGGUGUGAAAGCCCCGGGCUCAACCUGGGAAUGCCAUUCGAGACUGCAUAGCUGGGGUGCGGAAGAGGGAAGCGGAAUUUCCGGUGUAGCGGUGAAAUGCGUAGAUAUCGGAAGGAACACCAGUGGCGAAAGCGGCUUCCUGGUCCAGCACCGACGUUCAGGCACGAAAGCGUGGGGAGCAAACAGG